rnacentral:lncRNA from 1 species
UGAGAUAAGGACAGGUAGGAAAGAGAAAAGGGUUGCUGGUAUAGGUCCCUCCAAGACUUGGAGUAAAGUAGAGGUCAGGAAGAUGAAGGAAAGUGAGAGUUCUGAAUCUGAUGAGGAUGUCGAAUAUGAUGUCUCAGACAUUCCCCCUGUUAAAAGGAAGCCUGUAAAGAAGUCUCCAAACAAAGUGGUUGCUGUUCAUCUUGACAAUAUCUCGUUUCACGUGGAAGGUGGUGCUGCCAAAUGGAAGUUUGUGACUCAAAGAAGGGUAGCAGUUGAAAGAGAAUU